rnacentral:tRNA from 1 species
GGAAGGGUGGCCGAGUGGUUGAAGGCGCCGCUCUCGAAAAGCGGUGUGGUUAUAAGCCAUCGUGAGUUCGAAUCUCACCCCUUCCG